rnacentral:tRNA from 7 species
GAGUGGUAGUUCAGUUGGUUAGAAUACCGGCCUGUCACGCCGGGGGUCGCGGGUUCGAGUCCCGUCCACUCCGCCA